UUGAUGGUGAUAGCUGUUCCUCGGAACAUCAUUUGUAUAGAGAGGAGACUUUGCAUAGCCAGCACAUGCUUCAGUGCUCUGGUAGUGUUUAUAGCCUUGUGAGUUUAACACUUCAUGACUGAGAGCUGUCCUUCAUGACAACAGAACCCACAACAACCAUGACUUUUAUCACCAUCUUCAUCUGGACACUUGCCCUCUGUCUCCAAGAGUCAAGAGGCCAGGUCACAGUGACCCAGACUCCUGCAGUGAAAGCUGUUUCAGUGGGUCACUCAGUCAUUCUCAGCUGUAAGACCAGCAGUGCUGUAUACAGUAACAGCAAUGGACACUAUUUGCACUGGUAUCAACAGAAACCCGGAGGAGCUCCUAAACUCC